rnacentral:misc_RNA from 1 species
UUGUGAUUGUUUUGAAAUCAGAUUUGUUUACAUCUGUUUCUCGGUUAUUGUCUCAUUCUCAUUCAUUCGUAACUUUAUUUUUACCCCCAUGGCUCCGAAGAAAAUUCAUAGUGAAACUGCUAAGCGCCAUGCUAUAACGCUGGAAGAUAAACUGGUUAUGAUAAAACGCCAUGAAAAAGGUGAAAAAGUGGUAGCAAUUGCCCGAUCUUUUGGGAUGAGUCGGACAACUGUAUCGACGAUUAUACAUUAUAAGGACAAGAUUUUAGCACAUAUCAAAUCUGAAGCCCCAGGGAUGAAGAACACUGUCAUUAAUAAGAAAAGAGGCAAAAUCUUUGAAGAAAUGGAAAGUCUUCUUUCUCUUUGGAUUGUUUGGUUGAAUCGUCAGCGUGCUCCUAUUAGUCAAAAAAUAAUUCAAGAGAAAGCGUUGUCUUUGUUUGAGGAACUGAAGAAAAAAUAUCCACAUGAGAAAGAUGUAGAGUUCAAGGCAAGUCAAGGAUGGUUCAUGAGAUUUAAGGAGCGAAGAAGUUAUCACUACAUUAAGGACCGAGGUGAAAGUGCAUCAGCUGUCGAACAAGCAGCAGCGGAAUUUCCUAAUGCAUUAAAGAAAAUCAUCGAAGAAAACGGGUUUCUUCCCGAACAGAUUUUUAACGUAGACGAAACUGGAUUGUAUUGGAAGAAAUUGCCAGACCGUUCAUUCAUUUCCAAGGAGGAGAAUACUAUUCCAGGCUACAAGGCCUCAAAAGAACGUGUGACCAUUAUGUUGGGAGGUAAUUGUACAGGAGAUUUUAAGUUAAAGCCAUUACUUGUGUAUCAUGCACACAACCCCCGUGCCCUGAAGAACAUACCCAAGGCAUCCCUCCCUGUCAUAUGGAUGGCUAAUUCAAAAGCAUUAGUUACUGUUGUUGUUUUUGAAGAUUGGUUCUUCAAUCAUUUUAUCCCAGCAGCAGAGAAGUACUGUAAGGAAAAAAGGAUUCCUUUUAAGAUUUUACUAAUCUUAGAUAAUGCCCCUGGCCACCCACAAAAUAUCGUAGAUUUUGACCCCAACGUUACCGUCGUAUACCUCCCUCCGAACACCACGUCUCUUCUGCAGCCAAUGGAUCAGGGAAUAAUUGCUAUCUUCAAGCGUUACUAUAUGAAGCGUACGCUGCAGCAAGCAAUAGCUGCAACUGAUCUUCAUGAGUCCAUCACACUUCGUGACUUUUGGAAGAGAUACGAUAUCUACAAGGCUGUACAGAACAUAGCAGCGGCAUGGAAUGAUGUACAGAGCACGGCUAUGAAUGGUGUAUGGAAGAAGCUUUGCCCGCAAUUCGUGAAUAAUUUUAAGGGGUUUGAUAAUGUUGCCAUCAAUAAAACGUUGGUGACUACGAGCAAAGAACUGGAAAUGGAUUUGGAGGAGGAGGAUUUCACAGAUUUAUUUGAAAAAGACCAGCAGCCCCUGACGGACGAGGAUCUGAUAGAGCUUCACGAGCAGCAAAAUAAAGAAGAAAAGGAAGUUGAACCCGAGCCACGUCACUUUACCAUUAAGAAAAUGCAGCAAGCAUUUGCAUAUAUCGAAAAAGGUCUUUCUAUGUUCGAGGAUAUGGAUCCAAAUGUUCAGCGCUUUUCCAAGAUUAUGGGGACUUGUCACGAAGCUCUUGCUCCUUAUAAUGUAAUCCUUGAGGAAAAGAAGAAGAAGGCUGUUCAAGGAACUCUCAACCAGUUUCCUAAGCGCGUCGAACAAGAACAGCCAGAGUCAGCUGUUGAUGCUGACGAUCCACAGCCAUCGACAUCUGCGAUGUGAAUCACCAAAUUGUAUGUACCUAUUGCAAUCCGCCACAACUAUUUCUGAAGAUCUUCUACUCGUGUUGUUAAUAUACUGUCUCAACGAAAUAUAAAAGCAAAAAAAAAAGAUACUAACUGACACUAACAACAGAAAAUGAUAUUUACAUCAGAAGCAUCAUCAAUAUUUGUUUUAAAAGCCCAAGAAAGAUGUUAUACAGAACAAAUAGAACCAUGUUUAUGUAAAUCUGGUGAAUUAUGGUGAAAUGUUUCUUCUGACUGAUGUUCACAUUUAUAUAAGUCACUGUCUGUAAUGAGUACAAAAUAAUUUUGCAUUCUAAAUAGGCUUAGAUAAAUUGAUAAAGGACUUUACAACAGCUUUAUAUAUUGGUGAAGAACACAGUUGGUGGAAAUAUAGCAGAAAGAAUAUUCAUUACAUAUAAUCUGUAAAAAGUGAAAUGAAAAAGUAUACAUAUGUUGUGAGAAGAGAAGCUAAAUGAGCUUAAAGAUGUUUUUUUUCUCCUAAAGAGUUGAUGGAAACAAUAAGGAAUCUCAGGAUAUUGUAGUAUCGUAAUAUG